GGGAGUGUUGUGAAAUAGUUUAAUUAGGCAUGGGAGUGUCAUGGGCAAUAAAUGAGGUGUCAUGUAGGCAAUUUUGAUGAUAUGGCAUACUAUUUAUGAAUUGAGAGAAGAAACUAGUUUCAUGGGGAUGAAACCAUGUGUACACUGUUUCCAACAUUUGUGUCUUGCAUGUAGUCUUGGAAAAAAGUCAAAGAUGAAAAAAUGCAUUGUGUGACCUAUUCCAUCCAUGAACUAAAUGAUCUCUUGCUUAGGUGUCAUUCUUUUACUUAUGUGUCAUUCUUGUAAAGAUAAAUAUGAAAUAUUGCAUUGAUAAUGGCCUUAGUGAUCAAUUAGCAUUAGAG
rnacentral:lncRNA from 1 species